GACGAACGCUGGCGGCGUGCUUAACACAUGCAAGUCGAGCGGUAAGGCCCUUUCGGGGUACACGAGCGGCGAACGGGUGAGUAACACGUGGGUGACCUGCCCUCAGCUCUGGGAUAAGCCUGGGAAACUGGGUCUAAUACUGGAUAUGACUCCACGGUGCAUGUCGUGGGGUGGAAAGCCUUGUGCGGCUGAGGAUGGGCCCGCGGCCUAUCAGCUUGUUGGUGGGGUGAGGCCUACCAAGGCGACGACGGGUAGCCGGCCUGAGAGGGCGACCGGCCACACUGGGACUGAGACACGGCCCAGACUCCUACGGGAGGCAGGCAGUGGGGAAUCUUGCGCAAUGGGCGAAAGCCUGACGCAGCGACGCCGCGUGAGGGAUGACGGCCU
rnacentral:rRNA from 1 species